AUUGAACGCUGGCGGCAGGCCUAACACAUGCAAGUCGAGCGGAUGAAGGGAGCUUGCUCCUGGAUUCAGCGGCGGACGGGUGAGUAAUGCCUAGGAAUCUGCCUGGUAGUGGGGGAUAACGUCCGGAAACGGGCGCUAAUACCGCAUACGUCCUGAGGGAGAAAGUGGGGGAUCUUCGGACCUCACGCUAUCAGAUGAGCCUAGGUCGGAUUAGCUAGUUGGUGGGGUAAAGGCCUACCAAGGCGACGAUCCGUAACUGGUCUGAGAGGAUGAUCAGUCACACUAGAAGUGAGACACGGUCCAGACUCCUACGGGAGGCAGCAGUGGGGAAUAUUGGACAAUGGGCGAAAGCCUGAUCCAGCCAUGCCGCGUGUGUGAAGAAGGUCUUCGGAUUGUAAAGCACUUUAAGUUGGGAGGAAGGGCAGUAAGUUAAUACCUUGCUGUUUUGACGUUACCAACAGAAUAAGCACCGGCUAACUUCGUG
rnacentral:rRNA from 1 species